CGCUAGUAAUCGCGCAUCAGCCAUGGCGCGGUGAAUACGUUCCCGGGCCUUGUACACACCGCCCGUCAAGCCAUGGGAGCCGGGGGCGCCUGAAGUCCGGGACCGCGAGGACCGGCCUAGGGCGAAACUGGUGACUGGGGCUAAGUCGUAACAAGGUAGC
rnacentral:rRNA from 1 species